UAUAAGUAAGAUGCUACUGUGUUGUAAUUCCUGCUGUGAAAGUUGCUGAAACAGAGAAUUCUCUAACAAGCAUCGGGAGACAUUGAAUAGACCUACUGUAUACAUAUGGGACUUAUAUCAGUAACCUGUCUGCCAUAUUGGAGCAAGUGGCGCAACUCUUUUGGAAGCAGAGCAUUUUGUUUGUCACAAAUGUGAAAGCACCUUGAGGAAGGUGUCUUGGAGAACAACUGCUAUGAAAUUAGAAGUGAAGAGCUUACUGAAGAAGAAGAAAGGGCUUACUGAAGACUCCAGUUACUGAAGGAGCAUACCUGGGAACAACUGGAACAAAGGCUCGGUGGGGAAAAAGGUUUUGCCCAGGCACAGCUGAGCGUUAGUCACACUUGGUAUUCUGGUACCAUGUGCUGAAGGGGCAAGAAGACCAGGAGCGGAGCGGAACCCUUGACAAUUUUUAAAUCCAUCAAUUUAAAUCCAGUCUGAAUAGAGGCCUUGAAGUGGAAACACUUUAUGCCCACGCAAAUAUCAGAAUGUUUCAUGGAACAUUCUGCAUUUGGGAAAACAAUCUCCUCCUUCCUACCCAAGCAAGCACCACUUAAAACCUAUCACACUGUUACUGAGAAUGAGUAGGACAAAUGACAUGCUUCUUGACUGCCAUUAAAGGGUAGGUUAAAGUAAGGCUCAUCGAUUAACUUGCAGAAGUUUG